rnacentral:rRNA from 1 species
ACGGAGGAUGCAAGCGUUAUCAGGAUUCAUUGGGUUUAAAGGGUGCGCAGGCGGAUUAAUAAGUCAGUGGUGAAAUCCUACGGCUCAACUGUAGAACUGCCAUUGAUACUGUUAGUCUUGAGUAUUGUUGAGGUAGGCGGAAUGUGUCAUGUAGCGGUGAAAUGCGUAGAAAUUGCCCAGAACACUAAUCGCGAAGGCAGCUUACCAAGCAAUAACUGGCGCGUAUGCACGAAAGUGUGGGGAUCAAGCAG